AGAAUGACUAUUAUUCAUGAUAUACUCAAAAGUUUAUAAUUCAAUUUUGGUAUUAAUUUGUUGCAAUCUUUCAUAUUUUUCUUGUUGCCAAUGUUAUUAUAGCUAUGAAA